AGGCUGGCAGUCUGAGGCAGUGGAAACAGAGUAGCUCUCUCCUCAGCCCAUCUCUGUUUGCUCCCUCGGCAGAUAUCCGCCUG
ensembl:miRNA